CCCUAAUGGAACCUACAGUGAGCAGAAGGGCCUGGGCAGAGCAGAUGAAUGCUUGCUAUGUCCUGCAGGGAAGUACUGCUACAGGGAAUGGAGAGAACCUCGCGGAAUUCCCCAUCCGACUGGAGACUGCCCCCCAGGAUACACAUGCCCCCCAGGGACUGGAUUCCCCUUCUCUUUUCCCUGUCUUCCUGGCUUCUACUGGGAUAGUUCUGCUGUGGAAGGAGGAAACACUUGCGAACCAUGUCCUGCUGGGUACUAUUGUGACUCUCCUGCCAUGACGCAGCCCAAAACUUGCCCAGCUGGUUCUUACUGUGCCAGAGGCAGCUCCCGUCCUGAGCCCUGCCCAGAGGGCACAUACGGUAACAGAAAGGAGCUGGCUGCACCCCUGGACUGCAGCCCGUGUGGAGGUG